AAUCUCCACCACCACCGGUCUACAAGUACAAGUCUCCACCACCACCAACUCCAGUUUACAAGUACAAAUCUCCACCACCACCUGUCUAUAAAUACAAGUCUCCACCACCACCAACUCCGGUUUAUAAGUAUAAAUCUCCACCACCACCGGUCUACAAGUACAAGUCUCCACCACCACCAACUCCAGUUUACAAGUACAAAUCUCCACCACCGCCUGUCUAUAAGUACAAAUCUCCACCACCACCAACUCCAGUUUACAAGUACAAAUCUCCACCACCACCCGUUUAUAAGUACAAGUCUCCCCCACCACCCGUCUACAAGUACAAGUCUCCACCACCACCCGUUUACAAAUACAAGUCUCCACCACCUCCAGUCUACAAGUACAAAUCUCCACCGCCACCCGUCUACAAGUACAAGUCUCCACCACCUCCAGUCUACAAGUACAAAUCUCCACCGCCACCCGUCUACAAGUACAAGUCUCCACCACCUCCAGUCUACAAGUACAAAUCUCCACCGCCACCUGUUUACAAGUACAAAUCUCCUCCACCACCUCCUCCAGUUUACAAGUACAAGUCACCACCACCACCAGUUUACAAAUACAAGUCACCACCACCAC
rnacentral:lncRNA from 1 species